rnacentral:rRNA from 1 species
GAUGAACGCUAGCUACAGGCUUAACACAUGCAAGUCGAGGGGUUUGCUUCGGCAAACGACCGGCGCACGGGUGAGUAACGCGUAUCCAACCUGCCAUUCAUAUUGGGAUAGCCCUCCGAAAGGAGGAUUAAUACCGAAUAACAUAUUGUUGUUGCAUGAUAUCAAUAUGAAAGCUGAGGCGAUGAAUGAUGGGGAUGCGUUCCAUUAGGUAGUAGGCGGGGUAACGGCCCACCUAGCCAACGAUGGAUAGGGGUUCUGAGAGGAAGGUCCCCCACACUGGAACUGAGACACGGUCCAGACUCCUACGGGAGGCAGCAGUGAGGAAUAUUGGACAAUGGAUGGAAAUCUGAUCCAGCCAUGCCGCGUGCAGGAUGACGGCCCUAUGGGUCUUAAACUGCUUUUGUAUGGGAGCAAUAAGUUCUACGUGUAGAGUGAUGAGAGUACCAUACGAAUAAGCAUCGGCUAACUCCGUGCCAG